rnacentral:tmRNA from 1 species
UCCCUUCCCAUGGCCGAUGAGCGGGCCUAUAUAGAGGGUGUCCGGGCAACCGGACUAUGGGGAUAAACGCCCACGUAAUAAGCGAACUGGACCCGGGUGCGAUUCCCGGCGGCUCCACCAUUCUCCCCUCGGGGAUUUCUAUGGGGCCGAUCAGCAUCGACAGGCGUGUAAAGGUGAAGCCUUCCCUCGGUAUGAGCCUCCGCGAUCGGCUCAUUUUUUAACUGCGAACGAUAACUUCGCUCAGGAGCAUGCCCUUGCUGCGUAAUGCAGCGGGGAUCCUCCACCUAAACUCCUAGGGAAUAAGCCCCCUAGGCGGGGCCCGGCAGGCGCCUUGCAACAGAAGCCUGCCACC